UUGCACAGUUAACACCCAGGUGUGCUUCAUAAUACCCUUAGUUUUAAUUUUGUGCUACAGCAAUUGUUCUUUACCUUUGCAUUACAACAACUAUCCUUUUAAGUGUAUUCAGAAGGUCAGCACAUUA